CCGAACCUGGAAAAGAGGAUUAAGAUAGGUUAGCCAGGUGCUCUUUGCUCUCAAGAGCAGAAUCAAAGCAAGAGAGCUGAGCUGGGUCAAAGCAGGAGGAAAAAGUGGGGCAGGCAAAGCAGAGUCAUUUCCCAUUGGUGGCUUUCUGGUGUUAUACCCUAGGACCUGAUCUCUGUGCUUCAGAUGGGAUGCUCUCUCUGUAUCUUUAGGCCGCCUCGAGACCACAGUAUCUCUGAGCAAGACCAGAAUGCCCUUCCAUACCUACUUCAAUUGCCUUGGUUCUCAUGUUCACCCACACCACCACUCUGGGAGGGUGGCUGCAGUUACCCUCUUCUCUUAUGCCUAGCCGCUGCUUUGACUUGGAACAAGCUAGAGCAGAAGCAGCCAAGAGGAGUAUCCUCCAAAUGUUGUUCAACUACACCUAUCAGCUCCAGUGAGAGUGGCCAAAGCUCAAGGAGGAAGGGAGCUGGAGUCCAAGAACACGUCUCAGCUAGAGUGCAACUCAGCGUUUACUUUAUCUGCUGAUCCAUCAAUUCAGAGGGAAACCAUAAUGCACAACCAAACCCAGAGGACAUUUAUGGGUUUCUUCCCAAGAACACAUAUAUGUUACGGAAAAGCACUGGGCUGCCAGUAAAAACAACAUCACUUAGUCA